rnacentral:rRNA from 1 species
CAAUAGCGUAUAUUAAAGUUGUUGCGGUUAAAAGACUCGUAGUUGGAUUUCUGCCUGAGGCAGCCGGUCCGCACUUAGUGCGUGUAUCUGGUUUGGUUUGGGCAUCCUCUUGGGGAUCGUUGCUGUGCUUAGUUGGCAUGGGUGCGGAAUUCAAGACGUUUACUUUGAGGAAAUUAGAGUGGUUACGGCAAGCUAUCGCUUUGAAUACAUUAGCAUGGAAUAAAUAAUAUAGGGCGUAAGUUCUAUCUUGUUGGUUUCUAGAACAUAACGCAAUGAUUAAUAGGGACGAAUUGGGGGCGAUUCGUAUUAACGACGUCAGAGGUGGAAUUCUUUAGAAUUGCGUUACGACGAACUAACUGCGAAAG